UAAUAAUGAUAAUCAUCGUAAUGGUAAUAAUAAUAGUAAUAAUAAUAAUAAUAAUAAUAAUAUUUCUAUACGUAUGUUUGUCAUGUAUAUGUAUAUAUAAACAAAUAUAAUUAUGCUUAUCUUGUAAGAAGGGAUAGAGUUUAUAAUAACGCUAAACAAUAUAUGCAAUACAGUUCUCUUUUGUUAUUUUUGCUGUUGUUUCUGUUGUCAAUUCUUUUACCACAAUUAUUCUCAUCACGAUAGUCAUACAGUCAAAGAUGUUAAGAAUAAGAUUUAUCAUAAUAGUAAAUAGAUAAUAGUAAACAUGUGUAUGUACAAUUUUAUCGUUGAAUGCCAUUCUUCAAAUGCUGCAAAUAUAUAUAAGUUCGAUUACAGUUUAUGCAGUGUUUUGUGCAAACUCGACGGAUACACUUUUAUAAGUUUACAUUUUACAAUUUUGUCGAAUCGACAUAGCGCAUUUACGUUGAUCAAUCGAUUAAAUACAGAAACAAUGAAUUGAUGAUUUUCAUAAUAAAUAUGAUAUAACCACAAAAUCGUAUGCUAAUCACACACUUUUUCUUUAGUUUGUUGCGUAAUUAUUUUUUAAUUGCGUUUCUUUUCUUUAUUCUAUAUAUAUAUAUAUAAGUAUAUCCGCCGAACAAACAUUGCAUAAAACCAACAAGAGAAACGAAGUCUAAAGCUACGAUUUCCCUAGAAAAAUUGAUUAAAAUCGCGAUUUUGGACGUCUCCUCGUUCGUCCAACCUCUUUUUAUCACGAUACAUUUCUUGCGAUUACCCCUGUUCCGUUACAAUUUAUUCUUCUAAUAUUUCGUCUGACUAACUGUUUCUCAUUUUCCAGAAGGCAGUUUUAUUUGCACAUGUGGGAGAAAUGAAAAAAACCACGAUACAUCGAUCAAAUAACUGAUCAAUAUCUGCUCUUCUUCGGACAUUUCAAUUAUUAACCUCGAAAAUUUCGUUUAUUUUUCCAUAUUUUUUUUAUUUUUUUAUUUUUUCUUUGUUAACUCGAUAUGUACAUACGAUUAUCGAUAUAAGAUUAUGGAUCACAAAUUGCGAUUAGCAAGCAAUCAAUGACAUUUAACGAUAAUUACAAAAUAAUGGUAACCGUAUGGUAUAUAGAUAUAUACACACAUGUGCACAAAUUUUUAUAUGUAUAUAUAUAUAUAUUUACUGUCGCAGCGAUAAUACAGAAUAAUCAGUCGUAACAGGUACAUAAAAAUAGUGGCGAAUUCGAUCGAUUGUAUUAUAUUUUAUGUUAAAUUUAUAUGUUAUAAUUUUAUAUGUAUAAUAUUUUAUUUUAUUUAAAAUAUAUGGAAGUUUUUUCUCAUAAUUUAAUGUAUAUAUUUAUACAAGAAAUUGUAAUAAAUUAACUUGAAAAUAAAAAAUAUGAUGGUUCCAUAUGAAAUUUUUCGUGUAAAUUUAUCGAUAAAUUCGGUAAUCGAAAAUCGUUGUUCGAUAUCGAGUGCAACUAAUCUCUAGGGAAAAAAGGCGAUUUCACUUGCGAUCGAUCGGAUUCGUCAUUGCAACGAACGUCAUGGCAAAGUAAAGAACGAUUCAGUGUUAUAUAGCAAAAUUUUUUCCUUGAACUUUCAAAACAGACAUCAUGCCAGAUACUACGAAGAAUGAGAAUAGAAAAAAACUAGAAUGGAAAAGAAAUGGAUAACCAAGGAAAACGUGAUUAUCGUGCAAGCAAAAAAUGGAUAAGUCGAGUUUUAGUUUAAAAGAGGACAAGCGGAUUUUUGGUUACAUAAUCCUGAAUCACCAUUAUCGUGUCACCCUCGUCGUAACGCAGCUGAAAUGACCAUCACAAUAUCGAACAGCAGUAACAGAUAAUAUACAUUAUGUAUAUUAACUUUACCAAUAGAUCUCCGAUUUUUAUUUUAUUUUCAUCUUCACUUGAUCGUAAUUCUUGCACGCCGCUAUCUAUGUUUGGCUGCCGGAAGUGGCCUUACUCUAUCGUACUUUCCGUUCUUCUAAUAUCUACGGAUCUUUAUAAAUCCAACGUGACUUUCCAUUGCGUGACAAUGGGAGCUUUUCGUCGCGGUAUCCGCCCAUCUUCUCUUUCACUUUUCAUCGAUCCCUAAAGAGAGGAGGUAGAAAAAACAGCGAAAACGACGAGAAAGAUCCGCGACUCGAUCGCGAAACCGCUUUAUUACUAGAAACAUUAUAUGAUAAGGAGCGUGGCACAGUUUUGACGCUACAAUCGUUCACGGGGCUGGCCACGAUCGAAGAAAAUGGGGACACGACGAAAAGCGCGGGAACGCUUUAACGAAUGAAGAAGGAGUUCGGGGAGGCAUUCAGAACUAAAUACAUAACAACUAGCACAGGAAGCAAUUAAUUUAAAAAGCAAUGAGAAAACAUUGAUAAAAUUAUCGCUUUUGCAUCAAGAGAUGGCUGAGAUUCUUAAAAAACAGUGAAUCUUAAAAAGAAAAGUCGAUAUACUAUAAAACGAAAGUUACAUUGCAAGAAACCGACUGAUUAAAAUUAAUUAAAUAUCUACACUUUGAUCAGAGCUAUAAUUAUGUAAUGAGGGAUAAGUGGUCUUCGUGCGAAGAGGCCGCAAGAAUCAUAAAGGAAUUAUAGUUUGGCACUGAUACCCGUCAGCUUGAACUUAAUACGUUCGCGGAGCUGGAGAGAACCAGCAUUGGGAAGUCACGUAUUCCUAUUCGAUCCUAUUGCUGAUGGACUUUAUGGCACAUCGAAUAUCUUUCUUAAAACGCUUUGAUUCCGUUUCGAAACUAUGGCGUCUCUUGCCUUAUGCAUCUAGCAUACCUUCAAUGAAAAGAAAAGAAAAAAAAACAAAAACUACAACAUAACUACGAAACAACACUAACAAUUGUCCAUCAUUCGACUGAUUCGAAAUAUAUCUUUUCAGAGACUACAAAAACUCCACUUCCGGCACCAGGUACAAGCAGCGUGUGGCUGUGGCCCAGACUUACGUCGGAUAGUAGCAAGAACACACAUUAAAAUCAUAGAAGAUCAACGCUAUUAGACGUGUUAUGCAAGUAGCUAUCCGCUUUAUUUUCCCUUUAAUUUUCUACAAACCAUUUCACUUGGUUCAAAGAAUAAAUCAGAUCUGCGGAUGCUCUAA